AAAAGCUGCAGCCAGUGAGACGCACCCCUGAGACCCGAGACCCGCCGCGCCACCACCAAUAUGGAUCAUCGCUUUCUGAUGUUCACUCUCUUAGUGUGUUUCCUGGUGGCUGCCAUGGAAGCCUCGCCCUUCCUGAGAGACAUGUGAGAGCAGCGCGUUCAGGAGACCCGUGGUGUUGGUGCGGUGACUACCCGUGCCCGUGUGACAUCGCUCCAACAUUCUCCUUCUGAUUGCCGGCCCUGCGUGCCCCAGCAAAGACAAAGGAAGCGAAAGUGAACACCAUGUUUCCUUUUUUCUUUUCAUAUAAUCUUUAUCUGCAUGUGUAGAUACCUUAAAGUAACAUGUUUUACACAGAACACUCCAGGUGUGCUUCCAGUGUUGCACAGAUCGAAGUCACAAACUAUUCAGUCUCAGUCUCUGCAACUCACAAUACUGAAAGCUGUAAAACGCCAUAUGAAAUAAAAGUUUAACUCCA